GAUGAACGCUAGCUACAGGCUUAACACAUGCAAGUCGAGGGGCAGCAUGAACUUAGCUUGCUAAGUUUGAUGGCGACCGGCGCACGGGUGAGUAACACGUAUCCAACCUGCCGAUGACUCGGGGAUAGCCUUUCGAAAGAAAGAUUAAUACCCGAUGGCAUAGUUCUUCCGCAUGGUAGAACUAUUAAAGAAUUUCGGUCAUCGAUGGGGAUGCGUUCCAUUAGGUUGUUGGCGGGGUAACGGCCCACCAAGCCUUCGAUGGAUAGGGGUUCUGAGAGGAAGGUCCCCCACGUUGGAACUGAGACACGGUCCAAACUCCUACGGGAGGCAGCAGUGAGGAAUAUUGGUCAAUGGACGAGAGUCUGAACCAGCCAAGUAGCGUGAAGGAUGACUGCCCUAUGGGUUGUAAACUUCUUUUAUACGGGAAUAAAGUGAGGCACGUGUGCCUUUUUGUAUGUACCGUAUGAAUAAGGAUCGGCUAACUCCGUG
rnacentral:rRNA from 1 species